GAUGAACGCUGGCGGCGUGCCUAAUACAUGCAAGUCGAACGAAACUUCUUUAUCACCGAGUGCUUGCACUCACCGACACAGAGUUGAUUGCCGAACGGCUUAGUAACACGCUGGCAACCUGCCCAAACGAGGGGGAUAACACUUGGAAACAGGUGCUAAUACCGCAUAACCAUAGUUACCGCAUGGUAACUAUGUAAAAGGUGGCUAUACUACCGCUUUUGGAUGGGCUCGCGGCGCAUUAGCUAGCUGGUAGGGUAAAGGCUUACCAAGGAAAUGAUGCGUAGCCGCAUUGACAGGUGACUCGGCCACAUGGGGAGUGACACACGGCCCAGACCACUACGGGAGGCAACAGUAGGGAAUCGUGACCCAUGGGCGAAAGCCUGAUGGAGCAACGCGGAGUGCGUGAAGAAGGUCUUCGGAUCGUAACACCCUGUUGUUAGAGAAGAAAGUGGGUGAGCGUGACUGUUCACGUGUUGACGGUAUCUAACCAGAAAGCCACUGCUAACUACGUG
rnacentral:rRNA from 1 species